AGCGCGUGAGUGAGGAUCGCCGAUGGCUUAUGCCACCGGAGGAAAGUCCGAGCUCCGCAGGGCAGGGUGCCGGGUAACGCCCGGGCGCUGAGAGGCGACGGAAAGUGCAACAGAGAGUAGACCGCCGAUGGCCGCUUGCGGCACAGGCAAGGGUGAAAGGGUGCGGUAAGAG
rnacentral:RNase_P_RNA from 1 species